UGGUUCCGGCAUCGAUGAAGAACGCAGCGAAAUGCGAUAAGUAAUGUGAAUUGCAGAAUUCAGUGAAUCAUCGAAUCUUUGAACGCACAUUGCGCCCUUUGGCAUUCCGAAGGGCAUAUCUGUUCGAGCGUCAUUGCAUCUGCUCCGGCGAUUUAAUCAGCUGGGUAUUGAGCUUCGUCGGUUUUGCGACGGGCUUGGAAGACAACGUCGGUCCCCGUAAGAGUCGGAGCGCAGUAAAGCAUUUUUCGCUCGUUCGACCCUACGCGGGGCCUCCGACCCAUGUACCGAGAGGUCCGGCCUUUGGUGGACGGGCCCCUCCAACACACGCGAAUUGACCUCGGAUCAGGUAAGGAUACCCGCUGA
rnacentral:misc_RNA from 1 species